AGCGCGGCCCGGAGCGCCGCUCCUCUGGCCCCACUUCCUCGCUUCCCCCCGCACCUCCCUGCCACGCCUGCUCUCCAGUUGGCCAGCAGUUCUCUCCUCCUUCCACCCCACCGACGAGCCACUUCCUCACGGAAAAAGCGUCCCACGUGUCUAAAUUGAUCAAAAAUAAUUGAAGAGUACAAGGGAGAGAUGGGAAAGAGGGAAAAAAUAACAAGGAAGAGGACAGGUGCCAUCCAGCUGCUUUAUCACUGCCCUCCUCAGCAGGGUCCAGGGGAGGAAUAUAGGAUGAAGAAAAACUCAUAGACUGAGAUGAAGGCAGUUUAAUCAGGAAAAAGGAAAGACUGCACAUGGAAGCACAAGGAAACCAG
rnacentral:lncRNA from 1 species